ACUACGAACGGGUGGAGUCCUGCGGUUUAAUUGGAUCAACGCCGGAAUCUCGACCGGGGCGACAGCAAUAUGAAGGUCAGGCUGAAGACCUUACCCGAUUAGCUGAGAGGUGGUGCAUGGCCGUCGUCAGUUCGUACUGUGAAGCAUCCUGUUAAGUCAGGCAACGAGCGAGACCCACGUCCACAGUUGCCAGCAUACCCUCCGGGGUGAUGGGUACACUGUGGAGACCGCCGCUGCUAAAGCGGAGGAAGGAGUGGGCAACGGUAGGUCAGUAUGCCCCGAAUCUCCCGGGCUACACGCGGGCUACAAUGGUUGGUACAAUGGGCAUCUACCCCGAAAGGGGAAGGAAAUCUCUUAAAAGCCAAUCGUAGUUCGGAUUGAGGGCUGCAACUCGCCCUCAUGAAGCUGGAAUCCGUAGUAAUCGCGUUUCAACAGAACGCGGUGAAUACGUCCCUGCUCCUU
rnacentral:rRNA from 1 species